rnacentral:rRNA from 1 species
CCUACGGGGGGCAGCAGUGGGGAAUAUUGCACAAUGGGGGAAACCCUGAUGCAGCGACGCCGCGUGAGUGAAGAAGUAUUUCGGUAUGUAAAGCUCUAUCAGCAGGGAAGAAGAAAGACGGUACCUGACUAAGAAGCCCCGGCUAACUACGUGCCAGCAGCCGCGGUAAUACGUAGGGGGCAAGCGUUAUCCGGAUUUACUGGGUGUAAAGGGAGCGUAGACGGCCUUGCAAGUCUGAAGUGGAAGCCCAGGGGCUAAACCUGGGACUGCUUUGGAAACUGUGGAGGUAGAGGUGUGGAGAGGGAAGUGGAAUUGCUAGUGGAGCCGGGAAAGGCGUAGGUAAUAGGGGGAAAACCAGGGGGGAAGGCGGCUUACUGGACAGUAACUGACGUUGAGGCUCGAAAGCGUGGGGAGCAAACAGGAUUAGAUACCCGGGUAGUC